GUUGCGGCUCUGCUGAUGAUUUCUGGGAAGUGCUGGAAAUAUGGCCGUAGAAAAAGAAUGGCGUCCAUUUACAUAAUGCUUUGUUUGCAUUUUGCAAGUUUUUUUUGGUUAAACCUGCAGAAACCCCACCUCCUAGUGUCGUUUUAGUCGUGGCAGUUUUGUCAGACAUUUAAGACGAUGGUGUGCCGAGUAGUGCUGUGGGGGGGGUUCUUCCGAUUUUCCCCACGCCGUUUAAGCCCCGCUUCUGCCUUUUCCCCCGUUUCCCCCUUGGUGCAGACGCCGCGCCCCGCUCCUCGGGGGCGGCCCCUCUCGAGCCCCGCCAUCUUGGAAGGCCUUUCUUGCCGGUUCGCCACCGCACGUUCCUCUUACUAAAGAAAGGUCGCUUGCGUGCCUCGUACGAAUUCACUUAGGCCCAGAGAGAUGAAGUGACUAAUUCAAGGUCACACUAUGGCGGAUGGAAUCCGGACCUUCUGAUUUCCUUAUUGACCUGCAGUAUCUUGUGGAUAUAUGAGUGAAUUCCACACCACCCAUUUUACAGAUGAAGCUACUGAGAUAUGGAACAAUUGACUAAACAGUCACUGCCCCACCCCUGGAGCCUCCUACAUGACUCUUCUCCCAUUUGAAUGACUGCAGAUAGGCUCCACACCCAGCAUGGGACUUGAACUCAC